CUCCUACGGGAGGCAGCAGUGAGGAAUAUUGGUCAAUGGACGAGAGUCUGAACCAGCCAAGUAGCGUGAAGGAUGAAGGUCCUACGGAUUGUAAACUUCUUUUAUAAGGGAAUAAACCCUCCCACGUGUGGGAGCUUGUAUGUACCUUAUGAAUAAGCAUCGGCUAACUCCGUGCCAGCAGCCGCGGUAAUACGGAGGAUGCGAGCGUUAUCCGGAUUUAUUGGGUUUAAAGGGAGCGCAGACGGGUCGUUAAGUCAGCUGUGAAAGUUUGGGGCUCAACCUUAAAAUUGCAGUUGAUACUGGCGUCCUUGAGUGCGGUUGAGGUGUGCGGAAUUCGUGGUGUAGCGGUGAAAUGCUUAGAUAUCACGAAGAACUCCGAUUGCGAAGGCAGCACACUAAUCCGUAACUGACGUUCAUGCUCGAAAGUGUGGGUAUCAAACAGGAUUAGAUACCCUGGUAGUCCACACGGUAAACGAUGGAUACUCGCUGUUGGCGAUAUACUGUCAGCGGCUUAGCGAAAGCGUUAAGUAUCCCACCUGGGGAGUACGCCGGCAACGGUGAAACUCAAAGGAAUUGACGGGGGCCCGCACAAGCGGAGGAACAUGUGGUUUAAUUCGAUGAUACGCGAGGAACCUUACCCGGGCUUAAAUUGCAAAGGAAUAAUCUGGAAACAGAUUAGUCUUCGGACCUUUGUGAAGGUGCUGCAUGGUUGUCGUCAGCUCGUGCCGUGAGGUGUCGGCUUAAGUGCCAUAACGAGCGCAACCCUCGCCGCCAGUUACUAGCAGGUAAUGCUGAGGACUCUGGCGGGACUGCCAUCGUAAGAUGUGAGGAAGGUGGGGAUGACGUCAAAUCAGCACGGCCCUUACGUCCGGGGCUACACACGUGUUACAAUGGGGGGUACAGAGGGCUGCUACCACGCAAGUGGAUGCCAAUCCCAAAAACCUCUCUCAGCUCGGAUUGAAGUCUGCAACCCGACUUCAUGAAGCUGGAUUCGCUAGUAAUCGCGCAUCAGCCACGGCGCGGUGAAUACGUUCCCGGGCCUUGACACACCGCA
rnacentral:rRNA from 1 species